UCUUGCUGGACCUCCAUUGACAUUUGUCCUGAUCCCUGUGAAAGAGACUCAAACGCGUUAAACAGCUGCAAAGCAAAGCAAGUGAACAAAAAUUUGCUGAGCCUGGUGGUUGGGUCCCAGGGCAGUCAUUGAUCCAGCAGCCCGACGUGUUUUUGAGUUAAAAGUUGACAGAAAUUUUUAAAAUAUCACUUGGUAAUUAUGUUGUUUAAAAAAUUGGAAGAUUAAUACCUGAACAGCAACUAUAAGGUCUUAAGAAUGCAAACAUAAAAAAAAAAAACUUAAAUAACUAGGCAAUGCUUAGCCUGGUGAGGGUUCAAAUAAAGCCUGGUGGCCUGCCAGGCUUAUGAUACAGUGAGUUGCAAUCUCACGUUAACUCUUCUAUAAAGGAUUCAACCGACACACAUAGAAACACAACAACAACAACUAAUAAAAGACCUGUAGCUGACCUGACAAAAGAUGUAUGGCCCGCUGAAGCUCAUGGACGACGUGUCCGAGUUGUGAACAGUAUCAAGAGGGGAGGGGAGGUUAUCACAGUUCCAGCAACUCCUGCUCUGAUCGGCGCACGUCGUCUCAGUGCUCCUGGUCGGCCAAAGCAAAGCUUCCGAGGAGCUGCAAGGGGGGGAAAGGUGGAUACGCGGUCGAGGUGCUGCACGCUACAAAUGGACGUCUUCUCGCUCUGCACGAGGGUCGGGGACGAGGAAGACUGAAUUAGGAAGAAAACGUGGAAAUGAAGCAAAACUUAUUUCAGCUUGUUCAAAAACCAACAGAAAAUCAAGUUUUCCAGCUCGCCACAGGACUCCAUUCGCUCCACUGACCCACGCCGGCCCAGGCUCUCACUCUGGCUUCGUAUCUACGGCCGUGAAGCAGCUUCUGCCUCUCCAAUCUCACGCUGGUCUCUGCGACAGUCUGAGUCUGAGUAGAGAGCUUACGGUCCACUCGUCCUCCACCUGCGUCCUGAAGCUGAGCUGAUACGAGACGUUCUGGUUCAGGGAGGACGACGGAGGAUACGGACUGGACCACUUUAGCCAGUAGCUGCCAUCGCUUUCCUCGGACGCAGUCAGACCCCCAGGCGGACGUGCCCUCACUGUGCAACACCACCAAACAACACCACCAUCACCACGGACACUCACUGUUGUUUGAGCUGCUGCUUUCAUGAACGCCACAGUGAUCCAGACCGGAGAGGAGAGCCCGAUUCGGGAGAACCAACCACAUCAAGACCAGGAGGAGAGCCAUCCCUCCAGGCUUCACGGAGCCUCGCUUCUUUUCUUUGUAAGGAUCCAGAUCAGCGGCGUUUCCUCCACAUCGUCAAGACGCUCUUGCCUCAGAGGCCGACUCGCGACGUCAGCUCGUCUUUGAGGCACAAUCCGUCGCUUCGUCGACGAGGCGCCUGAAAACCCUAAAACCUCGGAGCACGUCGAAGGAGACCAGCACCUGAUGUGUCAUUCUGGAAUGUCGCCCGCCCGUUUUGUCGGUGCACAAGCAUGUGGUAGAUUACAGAUUUCCAAUCUGCAAGACUUUUAAGACGGCUGUGAAUAAAAGCAAGCGACCA